rnacentral:sRNA from 1 species
UCAGUAGGGAAAUGCUUACAGCUGCCUCUAGAAGCAAGUCCGCUUGCUGCAUGGAGAGGGAAACAUGAGCAUGCAGCAGGACUAGCUGUCACCUCCCGCCCGCCUGCCCAGAGAGGGCCAGAGCGUCGGGGAGGCAAGAUGAUCCACCAACGGUGCCAUCCUGCACUUGGAUGCAGUAAGCUGUGAGGUCCGCAAUGUCAGACACUGGCAAACAUCACAUGUUCUUCAAGUAGAGUUAUGAAAACGGAGAAACCGGUCGGAAGAGUAAAACGCCGGAAUUGUCCUUUCCAAGAUCCAGAGCUGCAACAUUCCUUGGGGCAAAAUGUGGACAAGGGUGAGUACUGAUAGAAAAAAACAGACAAUUUGUGAUUCCCCUUCUUCCAGUUUGCUCAGCCUAAAUUCUCUGCAAUAAUAAUACAAAUCAUGUUUUUUUGUCAUACAGGCCUGCAACUAACAUUUGGGGAAAAUACUGU